CCUACGGGGGGCAGCAGUGAGGAAUAUUGGUCAAUGGACGAGAGUCUGAACCAGCCAAGUAGCGUGAAGGAUGACUGCCCUAUGGGUUGUAAACUUCUUUUAUAUGGGAAUAAAAUGUUCCACGUGUGGGAUUUUGUAUGUACCAUAUGAAUAAGGAUCGGCUAACUCCGUGCCAGCAGCCGCGGUAAUACGGAGGAUACGAGCGUUCUCCGGAUUUAUUGGGUUUAAAGGGAGCGUAGGUGGAUUGUUAAGUCAGUUGUGAAAGUUUGCGGCUCAACCGUGAAAUUGCAGUUGAAACUGGCAGUCUUGAGUACAGUAGAGGUGGGCGGAAUUCGUGGUGUAGCGGUGAAAUGCUUAGAUAUCACGAAGAACUCCGAUUGCGAAGGCAGUUCACUGGACUGCAACUGACACUGAGGCUCGAAAGUGUGGGUAUCAAACAGGAUUAGAUACCCUUGUAGUC
rnacentral:rRNA from 1 species